GAGAGAUAGAAAGAGAAAGUGGUUGAAAAAAGAGAGAAAGAGACAGGCGGAGAGAGGAAGAAAGAAAGAGAGAAUCAGACGCAGAAAGAGAAACCGUCCGCCAGCAGAUAGUUUACAGCGAGCCCCCCUCUCCCUCCCCAGGAUCCUCCCGGACAAGGCCAACUAUUUGCUGGGAAAGAUCGCCGGCGUAACAGUCAUGAUGGACAACUUUGUCGGCAGGAGCAAGAGUCGCUAGGGAGUUUUCUUUUUUUGUUGUUCCAGAUAGAUCUUCAAAACAAUCACAAGACGAGCAUGAAUGAACUAAUGAACAAGAAUGAACAAGAAUGCACUAACGGGGCCAACGGAACAUCGUUGCAGGCAUCACUCUUAUUUUGACGUUCCGUUAGAUCGCUUAUUCUCAGCUGGAUAUACUUCGCCAUUAACCAACUUACUCCAAUUUGUAAAGGAAAGAAAACGGAUAUUUAUUAUAAAUGUAACAAGAAAAUACUUUUAUCAGUACUAUAUCACGCCAAAUGAAUUUCAUGAAAAGAUGUGUAUUGCUGAUGUACCCCUGGUUACAAUAAAUAUUUAUAAAAAAAAAAAAAAAAAAUCCAAAAGCAUUAUCAGCGCAUUCACUGCAAACUGAGUCAAUCAGUUUGCUAAUCUUAAAACAAGCGCAACUCAGCCUAUGUACGAUCUGCGUCCCAUAUCAGUUUAUUUUCAUCCUCUGUCAUAUAUUUUUCAUUUCAUCCCAAGGGGGGUAUAUAUCCCCCUAUCCGAGAAUCCCUGCUCUAGAUCUAAGUUUGUGCUUUGUCGCAUGCACACCAGAGCUCUCGAAACACAAAAUGCCGAAGCGGUCCAAUUUGAAGGGAUAUUUAUCUCGAAGUCCAGCCUCACUAGUUCUCGUAGUCUCGUAUCUUCCCCCAAACAUCGUGCUCUUUCCGUCUGAGAUACCAUGAACUCGCAUUUAGCAACUUCAAUCGCAACUGACUCUGCAUCUCCGUCAACUCCACUGCGAAUGUUUAGAAAUCUGAAUUACUCGCUGAUACUGCCAAUCAUUGCAAAUGCCGCCCUUUCAGCAGCUGGAAAUAAACCUUUAAUAAAGGAAUGACACGUAAA
rnacentral:lncRNA from 1 species